CAACUACUCCCUUUGUCCCAAAUUUCUUGUCUUAGAUUUGUCUACAUACGGGUGUAUCUAAUACUAAAAUGUGACUUGAUACAUCCGUAUCUAGACAAAUCUAAGACAAGAAUUUUGGGACGGAGGGAGUACUUU
rnacentral:pre_miRNA from 1 species